rnacentral:ncRNA from 1 species
CGCAAAGAUAAAAACACAGCGCGCUUUUCGAGCGCGGUUCCGGUCGGUAGUCCGGACGUAUCCCCUCGGAUAUAAGUAACCCUCCUCCUUGGUCGUCCCUUCUUUGUGAAU